UACGUAGGGUGCAAGCGUUACUCGGAAUUACUGGGCGUAAAGCGUGCGUAGGUGGUUUGUUAAGUCUGAUGUGAAAGCCCUGGGCUCAACCUGGGAAUGGCAUUGGAUACUGGCGAGCUAGAGUGCGGUAGAGGGGUGUGGAAUUCCCGGUGUAGCAGUGAAAUGCGUAGAUAUCGGGAGGAACAUCUGUGGCGAAGGCGACACCCUGGACCAGCACUGACACUGAGGCACGAAAGCGUGGGGAGCAAACAGG
rnacentral:rRNA from 1 species